GAGAUCGAAAAUGGACUGAGGCUAAUGG
rnacentral:sRNA from 1 species